CGGGCUUCCUCCCUCCAGUGCUGAAAUGGGAAGGCGUUCAGAUUCCCAGCCUCCCAUCGGGACUCCACUUCCUGCUCACUAAUGUAUUCCUUCAACUUCAGGAUUCCUGAUCAUCUGCAUCAACCAACUUGUGGAGAAAACUGAGGCCCAGGAAAGUGACUCACAACUGUGUAGAAAUACAGGUCAGCCUUCCUCAAAGGUGACAGUCUGACACCAGCAUAGGUUCAACGAGGACACAACAAGAUGCAGGCUGGUGCCCUUGGAAGCUUGGCUUACUCAGACCAGGUUCAGGAUGAUCUUCCCAGGACCUUGUGGGAACUGAGGGACCUGGCUUCCCAGAUCCAGUGACCAAGAGAAAAAUUAACCCUCUUCACAAAGAGACCCUGUUUGCUUUUUGAGGCCAUUCGCCUCUUGUGUUCAGUAAAAGCUACUGUAACGACAUUUGCUAUGUCAAGGGCAAUGGCGCUUUUCUCCUGGGGAAAGAGAAACUCUGACAAGUAAACUUAUUCGAGAUGGAGAAAAUUAGAUGACAUCCAUACCGUGUCUCUUAGUCUCCACUUCACAGAUAUAAAAAGAGAGGCACAGAGGGGUUAAAUAAAUUUCUAAUCAUGACUUUCUAAAAU